CCUAAGGCUUCUGGAAUCGGUCCUGACAAGGUGUUGUAUGCCAGCCGGAUGGUGUUUAAGGAUGAAACAUUUCCUAAGGAUGCUGGAAUCCUUCCAGAAAGAAUAUUUCCAUUAAGGCCAAGAAGUUGCAGAGAGGUGGCUUUCUGGAAACGAGGGACAUUCCCUGAUAACAUGUUUUCACUUAGAUCUAGAAUGUUCAAGUUCAGGAUAUGGCCUAAGGCUUCUGGAAUCGGUCCUGACAAGUUGUUCUCUGCCAGCAGGAUGGUGUUUAAGGAUGAAACAUUUCCUAAGGAUGGUGGAACCCUUCCAGAAAGAACGUUUCCAGUAAG
rnacentral:misc_RNA from 1 species